GACCUCGUUGCUUAGUUGAUAAGAGCGUUGGCUGUAUUAAGCCUUUUCCUUGCUGGCGUGGAUUCAAAUCCCGCCGAGGCCG
rnacentral:tRNA from 1 species